GUGCUCAUUUCGACAGCACAUAUACUAAAAUUGGAACGAUACAGAAAAGAUUAGCAUGGCCCUUGUGCAAAGAUGACAUGCAGAUUCAUAAAGCUUUCCAUUAAAAA